rnacentral:rRNA from 1 species
CCUACGGGAGGCAGCAGUGAGGAAUAUUGGUCAAUGGGCGAGAGGCUGAACCAGCCAAGUCGCGUGAGGGAAGAAUGUCCUAUGGAUUGUAAACCUCUUUUGUCAGGGAGCAAAGUCACCCACGUGUGGGGGUUGGAGAGUACCUGAAGAAAAAGCAUCGGCUAACUCCGUGCCAGCAGCCGCGGUAAUACGGGGGAUGCGAGCGUUAUCCGGAUUUAUGGGGGUUAAAGGGUGCGUAGGCGGGUGAUCAAGUCAGCGGUAAAAUCGGGGAGCUCAACUCCAUCCAGCCGUUGAAACUGAUGAUCUUGAGUGUGCGAGAGGCAGGCGGAAUGCGUGGUGUAGCGGUGAAAUGCAUAGAUAUCACGAAGAACUCCGAUUGCGAAGGCAGCAUACUGGCGCUCGACUGACGCUGAAGCACGAAAGCGUGGGUAUCGAACAGGAUUAGAUACCCCUGUAGUC